CUGUCGUCGGCGACCCUCUUGGUCCUCGCAGGCCAAGAGAUCUCCACGAAUUCGUCAUUGUUCUAUCCCGAAAUAUUUGUGACGAGUGGAGUUAUUUGAUUGCUUGAUUAAUAUAUUCAUAUCAAAAUCGGAUCAAUACAAGCGGAGAUUGCGGCGCGGAGAACACGCUGAAGUCAGGGGAUGUUACACCGUGCGAGGAAUGCGGAUACCGCAUCUUUUACAAGAAGCCCACAUGGAGAAGCCUCUCAUCUUGACUUCCGAGUCCUUCGUUCAAUCUAGUAUAAGCUUCAAGGACUUAUUCAAUACGCGCUUCAUGUUGACUCGAGGUGACAUGAUGACCAGGAUCCAACAACUCGUUCGACCUAUAGCUUCUUCAUUGACCAAGGCUUCAAAGUCUUCUUUCACGAAGUUGGCAUUUGAUUUCCAUGGCACCCACUCUCGUAGUUAACAAUGUCUUCGUUUACGCGUUGGAACAGCAGGAUUUGUUGGUCAUCGUCAAUGGAUUCCAUUCAUCGAGUAAGAUGCUUACUUGCAGGUGACCUACUAAAAGCCAACGGAAGCAAAAGGCUGCAAGAAGAAAACACUAGUCUUUUUUUGCAGUCAAUUCAACUCCGAAGAAAAAGAAGAACAUGAUUCAGCAAGCAGGAAGGACAAAGUUGAUGAGGUCGUGCAUCGAGUAAGCUGCUUACAUGCAGUAAGAGGAAUCAUGGAGUCUUAUUUCAGUUCAUAUCUGAAGAAGGAUAUAUCUGAUGAGGUCACGCAUCGAUUCAUAUGCUUAGUUGCAGAUGAGCUACAUAUUGUGAUCCAUGAGAGAGUUGACUAAUUCAGCAGCUAACACCACCUACUCCAACUUUUAAUUAGCCCAUGUGAUAUCAUGAAUGCAGAAGAUCUGAUAUAUGUUCCAGAGUCAACGCUAUAAAUUGCAUGGAAUCAUUUUGG